rnacentral:rRNA from 1 species
UACGUGAGGGGCUAGCGUUGUCCGGAUUUAUUGGGCGUAAAGAGCGUGUAGGCGGCCAGGUAGGUCUGGUGUGAAAACUCGAGGCUUAACCUCGAGAUGUCAUCGGAAACCAUCUGGCUAGAGUCCGGAAGAGGAGAGUGGAAUUCCUGGUGUAGCGGUGAAAUGCGCAGAUAUCAGGAAGAACACCCGUGGCGAAGGCGGCUUUCUGGGACGGUACUGACGCUGAGACGCGAAAGCGUGGGGAGCGAACAGG